UGGCAAAAUAACAUUAAUAGCAUCUUUCUUUGUCUUCUAUUUAUACUCUUAAAGGACUCUUCAUGAUAAUUCACAGAGGUGAGGGGCAGAGGUGAUAAGAGAACAACAUCAUGAAUACCUUUCAAAUACAUGAAUCUGAAGCCUGUGUUGCACAGUGAAUCAACUCGGGGACAAGCUCUGUGAGGCUCAAGAAUGGGGCAGGGGCUCUGGCUUCCUCUGUUCUGGGCUAGAGCCUCCUUUGGCUGAAUCAGCCCCUGCCCACCCCAGCCACUGGGGACCCAAGAUGUCUGAGAGCCCUUUGUCCCUGGCAGCUCACCGGAAACAUCUUAGACUUGGAUCCCGUUCAAAGCCCACUUUCCCCACAGCAGGACUGGGAUGAAGGGGGCCUUGGAGGCAUGCUACUCUGUCACCUUUCCCACCUCCACAUGCUUUCAAUCCCAUGGCAGCCUGUGGGUCCUGGGAAGAAAGCCAAGCACCUCAUCUCCAUGGAGGCCCAAGAUUGUCCAUGUCACCCCUGCCCUCCAGCCCUAGAACUGCCCAGGCAGGAAUCAAGGUCUUCAUUUGACAGAUGAGGAAGUGAAGGCUCAGAGAGGGACAGGAACUUGCCCAAGGUCAUCCAGCAAAGUGAAGGAGUAUCCAGAGUAUCUCCGGAAAGGAAGAGCCCAGCUCCCACUUGGAGAAAGGGCCGCGGGUGCAUCCAGCAGAGGGGAGGAUGGCCAACGUUCACACCUCUGGCUCCCAAAUCCAGCUUCACAAAGGCUAAGCCUGCCUGCCUGCCCCUCCUGCUGAGGGCCCCACAGUCGGAGAAGCCAAACCCAGACCCAGGAGGCUUCGGUGAUCCAAGAGCAAGCCAGUCCAGAGCCACAGUCCACAGGAGGUCACUGAUGUCCCGGGUUCCCCUCCCGGGCCAGCACUAGGGCUAGGGGGUUAUAACACAGGCCACAUAAGAAUAGUUUUAUCGGUAGAAUAAAUACAUUUUUCUUUUUUAAUAUGGACACGUAUUUUACAAAAGAGCCCCAUAGCACUAUGGGAAAUUAAGAUCCUUCUACAAAAAAGAAGAUGUAACUUGGGUACAGUAAAGCUCUAGAGUGUCUAGCCAAUCCCAUGUGGACUGCCCUCGACGUGUUGGGCACCCCCUGGAGGUGGUGGCAGGAGCAGUUGGGUGUGGCCGAAGACCCCUGUGUCAUUUCUCUGGCUUCUCCACUUGGGGUGGCCGAGGUCAGGAGGGCCCAAGGCUAUGCAGCAGGAAGCAGACAGCGAUGGUGGUGGCGAUGGCGGGGAGAAGGCCCAGGGUGGGUGCCGAGCUGCUGGCGGGCCCUGGCGGGUCCUGCUGUUGUAGCUGGUCUGAAAGCUGGAAGGGGGGCUUGGCGGUCCCCGAGCUGUGGGUGGG
rnacentral:lncRNA from 1 species